rnacentral:lncRNA from 1 species
GUCAAUAAGGCCACGUCUCCUGCCUUGCGUAAGAGAGUAGUACUUUCUAUGGCAGAUUUUGGGUGAUGAUACUAGUAUUUUAUAAAUGAUGUUUGUGUUUUUCUUUGGACUGAUUCUAGUUCUGCCUGUGUCCACUGUAUCACUCCAAAAGAGUAAGUCAGUACUGGUAUGCAAAUGUGUUGAUGGCUUUCACUGUGUUUUUCCCAUUCAAAUGUGUUUUGAGAAUGUUAUUUAAUCUGUUGGUGUACUGUUUUGACAGUGUUUGUUUAGUUUUCUUCUGUUUUCUGAGUCUGGCAUGCUGGAAUCCUAAAUACCUGUACACUUCACCCUUUUCCGUGGAUUCGAUAGUGUCUCCGUUUUUAAGAGUGAAAUCUCCUUUCUUUAGGACUCC